AGAGUUUGAUCCUGGCUCAGAUUGAACGCUGGCGGCAUGCUUUACACAUGCAAGUCGAACGGUAACAGGCCGCAAGGUGCUGACGAGUGGCGAACGGGUGAGUAAUGUAUCGGAACGUGCCCAGUCGUGGGGGAUAACGCAGCGAAAGCUGUGCUAAUACCGCAUACGAUCUAUGGAUGAAAGCGGGGGACCGUAAGGCCUCGCGCGAUUGGAGCGGCCGAUAUCAGAUUAGGUAGUUGGUGGGGUAAAGGCCUACCAAGCCGACGAUCUGUAGCUGGUCUGAGAGGACGACCAGCCACACUGGGACUGAGACACGGCCCAGACUCCUACGGGAGGCAGCAGUGGGGAAUUUUGGACAAUGGGGGCAACCCUGAUCCAGCCAUGCCGCGUGAGUGAAGAAGGCCUUCGGGUUGUAAAGCUCUUUCGGCCGGGAAGAAAUCGUGGUCUCUAACAUAGGCCAUGGAUGACGGUACCGGACUAAGAAGCACCGGCUAACUACGUG
rnacentral:rRNA from 1 species